AGAAUUAGAAGUUUGAAUCCUGGGCCUCAGAUUGAACGCUGGCCGCAUGCUUACACAUGCAAGUCGAACGGUAACAGGGAGCUUGUCCCGCUGACGAGUGGCGAACGGGUGAGUAAUGCAUCGGAACGUACCCAGUCGUGGGGGAUAACGUAGCGAAAGUUACGCUAAUACCGCAUACGUCCUGAGGGAGAAAGCGGGGGACCGUAAGGCCUCGCGCGAUUGGAGCGGCCGAUGUCGGAUUAGCUAGUUGGUAGGGUAAAGGCCUACCAAGGCGACGAUCCGUAGCGGGUCUGAGAGGAUGAUCCGCCACACUGGGACUGAGACACGGCCCAGACUCCUACGGGAGGCAGCAGUGGGGAAUUUUGGACAAUGGGCGAAAGCCUGAUCCAGCCAUGCCGCGUGAGUGAAGAAGGCUUCGGGUUGUAAAGCUUUUCAGCCGGAAAGAAAUCGCGCAGGAUAAUACUCUGCGUGGAUGACGGUACCGGAAGAAGACGCACCGGCUAACUACGUGCCAGCAGCCGCGUAAUACGUA
rnacentral:rRNA from 1 species